AGUUACUUCUCACACAGGACUCAUAACGCCCUUUCUGUGAGAGAUAACUUUUUGUCGUCCUCUCCUUUGUUCAAUUUUCCACAGACUUCACACUUUCAACAAACAUGGUGAGUAUGGGAACGGUUUUUUCUUACCUAUAAUGUCACAAAUUAACUAAAAUCAAAUCUCUUAGGUAUGUUAUCACGUGGCGGUUAACCUUUUUGAUUUUAACUUUUAGGCGGUUAACCAGAUCAGGCCUUAAUUUGAGUCAAUGUGUCCGUAUUUUUUUUUGUUAGAUUCAGAUAAAAAUAACAAAGGGAUGAGCUCAAAUUCAAGUUGAGUCUCGGCCUUUUUGUUUUCCGGGUUUUUCUGUCUGUACAAUGACCCACUUAGCAGAGGUCAAUGUGGUCUCAGCCUGAGGUAUUCCUGCUUGUUUGAGAAGACCAAACCUCUCUUAACCCAACCCUUUUUUUGGUUGUAUAGAUAUUUUCAUGUUCUACAUUGUGUGGGCUCAGCUCUUUUCUAUCACAGUCUCAAACCGCAGCUGUGUUGGGUUUGGCCCCACCACAGUAUGUACUUUGAUAGGGUUUAGUUCACUGUCUGAAUAGUCUGAAUAGGCCUCUUGUCUGAUCAUUUCCACCCAAGGGAAUUUUUCUCGCUCCUGAGGGUAAAUAGAUGUUGGAACUUGUCAUCAGGUGACUUUAGUCAUGAAGCUCUGGUAUUUGUCUUGACAAAAGAACCUUUUUUCCUCCUCCUGAAGUCUCACAUUAACACUGUGACCCACCUCGGCAUGUGAUGAGUCGCCUUCAGGGUCUGAUUCAUCACAUUUGAGAUAAGAAAUGUGAAAGCACCUUUUAGCCGAGUGAUUAUUUCAUUACAUUAAAAAUAACAAAAAGCUCGAAAAAUAUUCUGAUUGUUGUUUUUCUGUCUCCACAGCGUGAGUGUAUCUCCAUCCACGUUGGUCAGGCCGGUGUCCAGAUCGGUAAUGCUUGUUGGGAGCUUUACUGCCUGGAACAUGGCAUCCAGCCAGACGGACAGAUGCCCAGUGACAAAACACUGGGAGGAGGAGAUGAUUCCUUCAACACCUUCUUCAGUGAGACUGGAGCUGGAAAGCACGUCCCCAGAGCUGUUUUUGUAGAUCUGGAGCCCACUGUGAUCGGUGAGUGUCAUUAGUUUAGUAAAAAUAUGAAUUUUAGGGAGUAAAGAUCGGAGGAGUGACAAUAAGGAACCGUAAUAACCCUGUUCUCACUUGUGUUUUUAGAUGAAGUGCGCUCUGGGACCUACCGCCAGCUGUUCCACCCAGAGCAGCUGAUCACUGGAAAGGAGGAUGCUGCCAACAACUACGCCCGUGGACACUACACCAUCGGCAAAGAGAUCAUCGACCUGGUGCUGGACAGGAUCCGCAAACUGGUGGGUAGUAAUAUAAGAAAGAAGAAAUUGCUUGUUUCGACUAAAUUGAAUUUAAAAAAAAAUUAAGGUUCAUUCUCACUGUCUCUCCCUCUCUGUCCUCAGGCUGAUCAGUGCACUGGCCUUCAGGGCUUCCUGGUCUUCCACAGCUUUGGAGGUGGUACCGGCUCUGGUUUCACCUCCCUGCUGAUGGAGCGUCUGUCCGUCGACUACGGCAAGAAGUCCAAGCUGGAGUUCUCCAUCUACCCAGCUCCCCAGGUGUCCACUGCUGUGGUGGAGCCCUACAACUCCAUCCUGACCACCCACACCACCCUGGAGCACUCUGACUGUGCCUUCAUGGUAGACAACGAGGCCAUCUACGAUAUCUGCCGUAGAAACCUUGAUAUCGAGCGUCCCACUUACACUAACUUGAACAGGUUGAUCAGUCAGAUCGUGUCCUCCAUCACUGCGUCUCUGCGUUUUGAUGGUGCCCUCAAUGUUGAUCUGACAGAGUUCCAGACCAACUUGGUGCCAUAUCCCCGUAUCCACUUCCCUCUGGCCACCUACGCCCCUGUCAUUUCAGCUGAGAAGGCUUACCAUGAGCAGUUAACAGUGUCUGAAAUCACCAAUGCUUGCUUUGAGCCUGCAAACCAGCUGGUCAAAUGCGACCCUCGCCAUGGCAAGUACAUGGCCUGCUGCCUUUUGUACCGUGGUGAUGUGGUUCCCAAAGAUGUGAAUGCUGCCAUUGCAGCAAUUAAAACUAAGCGCACCAUCCAGUUUGUGGACUGGUGCCCCACUGGUUUUAAGGUGGGCAUCAACUACCAGCCUCCCACUGUGGUACCUGGUGGUGACCUUGCCAAGGUCCAGAGGGCCGUGUGCAUGCUGAGCAACACCACUGCUAUUGCAGAGGCCUGGGCCCGUCUGGACCACAAGUUUGACCUGAUGUAUGCUAAGCGUGCCUUUGUUCACUGGUACGUGGGUGAGGGUAUGGAGGAGGGUGAGUUCUCCGAGGCCAGAGAGGACAUGGCAGCUCUGGAGAAGGAUUAUGAGGAGGUGGGAGCUGAUAGUCUGGGGGAUGACGAUGAAGGAGAGGAGUAUUAAGUUGUUUGCAUCCUCUGAUCUGUGAUCUUUGCUUUUUUUUCAUACCAAAAUAAAGUGAGUUCAUCGACUUAUUCUUUUGUGUUUUU
rnacentral:lncRNA from 1 species